ACGCACUGAAUAUUAUAAGUACAUCAUGGGAUGAACGUGAUCCUGUUUGACGGUAAUAAUUGAUCGUCACUGGGUUAUGUUUGUCCCAUACGAGUACUGAUUAAUCAUCGCUAUUGCA